rnacentral:lncRNA from 1 species
GUAUCUUUUCAUGAUCAUAAAACUGUAAUCAUAAGUUUAGUGCUUUCCUGAGUUCUGUGAGUCACCCUAGAAAAUUACUGAAGCUGAGGGUGCUUGUAAGCACCCCCAAUUUUUGUAGCCAGCUGGUCUGAAGUGAAGGUGGCCCUGGGGACUCUGAACUUGAGGCUGGUGGCUGAAGUUGGGGCAGUCUUGUGGGGACUGUUCCCUCGGACAGGACAGUUUGGUAACCUCUGCUGCAGAGGUCAGACGUCCAGGAAGAUGUGGUGGUCUGGAGGACUGUGCUCCCAACCUCAGGGUUUGGCCAACUGCAGGCACUCUGGAGAGCGAGCCAGCACAGUAGAAAAAAAAGAGACCUUUUCCGUUUGGUGAACUUCCAAUAAAGCCAGCCAGACAGCUGAGGAGAGUGGCUGGGCUGAGGCUCAAAGCCACACCUGGCAUGUGAAUGUGGGUGUUUAUCUGUCUCAUACACCAGCCCCCCACUAGCUGCUGUCACCCCAGCCCCUGACUACCUGAACACCCGGAGGCCCUCCCAGCCCCACACUGACCUGGGUGAGGACCGUGACUCCAGCAGCUGUCAGGCCCUCACACAAAGGCAUCAAUGUAAAUUGCACAGUGCUCUUCCUGCAGCCUGUGGGCCCCUCCCAGGGCCGGCCCAGAGACAGGAAGACAGCAGGCUAUCUGUCAACAGUCCCAGGACAUGGCUGGCACUCUGCCCUCUGCUCACCACAGGCUGUGGGCAAGGGAACGGCGAGCAAGAUGGACUGAGAGACGCUCCCUUUUCCUCAGCGAGUUGGAUUUAUCUCAACUAUGCAAGAAUGCUUUUAUAUUAGAAUAUUUACAAUUUUUAAAAAACAAUGUAUAAACAAAUGAGAACAAUAAUAUAAAAGUAAUUGCUUGAUAAAAUUCAACACAAACUCGGAAAUUAUGAACAGCUGUUAAUAAAUUAGAGCAUCUGCAUAACUUGAUGUAGGUAACUGUGCUGGUUCGUUUUAUGUGUCAACUUGGCUGUGCUCCAGUGCCCAGAGAUUUGGUUUAAAAGUAUUCUAGGUGCUUCUGUGAAGGGACGUGAGCAUUUAAAUUACUGGAUUUUGGACUGAGUGCAGUGGCUCAUGCCAGUAAUCUCAGCACUGUGGGAGGCUGAGGCAAGAGGAUCAUGUGAAGCCAGGAGUUCAAGACCAGUGUAGGCAGUAAAGUGAGACCCUGUCUCUAUAACAAUAAUAAUAAUUAUAAAUAAAUUAGUGGAUUUUGAGUAAAGUAGGUUAUCCUCCACCAUGUGGGUGGGCCUUAACCAAUCAGUUGAAGACCUUAAUAGACCAAAGACUGACCUCCCUGCAGCAAGAAGGAAUUCUGUUGGCAGAGUGCCAUUGGACCCCAACUACAACUCCUCCCUCGGUCUCCAGCAUGCCAGCCUGCCCCAUCAGACUCUGGACUCAACAAGCCUCCACCAUGUUGAGCUAAUUCCUUAAAAUACACGUCUUGGCUGGGUACGGUGGCUCACGCUUAUAAUCCCAGCACUUUGGGAGGCCAAGGUGGGUGGGUCAUCUGAGGCCAGGAGUAUGAGACCAGCCUGGCCAACAUGGUGAAACCCCAUCUCUACUAAAAAUACAAAAAUUAGCCAGGCAUGGUGGCACAUGCCUGUAAUCCCAGCUCAGGAGGCUGAGGCAGGAGAAUUGCUUGAACUCGGGAGGUGGAGGUUGCAGUGAGCUGAGAUCGCACCAUUGCACUCUGGCCUGGGUGACAAGAGCAAAACUCCAUCUCAAAAA